CUGUAUGAGUUGCAUCCUGCUCUAAAUAUGGGCAGACAAUAAGUUUGAUGGAAUUUAGGUGAACAAUAUGUGAGUCAUACAUAUGCCCAUAAAGGACCAUCACACACAC
rnacentral:snoRNA from 1 species